AACGAACGCUGGCGGCGUGCUUUACACAUGCAAGUCGAACGGAAACGCCCUGCUUUUGAGGCCUGCUAGAGUGGAAAACGGGAGAAUAACACCUGAGCAACCUGCCCUUGACUUUAUAAUUGCUCCAAGAAACUGGUGCUAAUACCUACAACCAGCUCCUGACUGGUGGGGAUCGUUGAAAAUCUCUCUCUGUAGGGGAUGGAACUCACAUCUUAUCAUCUUGGUGGUGAAGGACUGCCUUAGCAACGAUUUGACGGUGACCCGGCCUGACAAGCUGACCCGCCGCAUUGGAAAUGAGAUCCAGACCCCACUCCUACGGAACGCAGCAGAGUUUUAAUAUUGCGACAAUGGACCCUAACCUGAUGCUGCCACGCCCCGUGCGAAGAUCACCGCCUUCUAAACGGAUAUCGCUUUCGCCUGAGACUAACCGUGAAUGACCCCAAUGGGAAAACAAUCCCCGAAUAACUACCUGCCACUAACCACGUGGAUACAUACGCUGCAAUCCUUGUCCUGAUAUAUUGAAUCUAAAUUACUCGUAGGAGAUUGAUCGCAUCCGACUUGUCAUCAUGGAUCUUAACUCUGAGCGCGCUUUCUAUACACUGUGACUUGAACAACGUAGGGGGAUGGAAUUCCGCGUGUAGCAGUGAAAUGCGUAGAUAUGCGGAGGAACACCAAUGGCGAAGGCAAUCCCCUGGGCCUGUACUGACGCUCAUGCACGAAAGCGUGGGGAGCAAACAGGAUUAGAUACCCUGGUAGUCCACGCCCUAAACGAUGUCAACUGGUUGUUGGACGGCUUGCUGUUCAGUAACGAAGCUAACGCGUGAAGUUGACCGCCUGGGGAGUACGGCCGCCAGGUUGAAACUCAAAGGAAUUGACGGGGACCCGCACAAGCGGUGGAUGAUGUGGUUUAAUUCUAUGCAGCGCGAAAAACCUUACCUACCCUUGACAUGUCAAGAAUUCUGCACAGAUGUGGAAGUGCUCCAAAGAGAACUUGAACACAGGUGCUGCAUGGCCGUCGUCAGCUCGUGUCGUGAGAUGUUGGGUUAAGUCCCGCAACGAGCGCAACCCUUGUCAUUAGUUGCUACGCAAGAGCACUCUAAUGAGACUGCCGGUGACAAACCGGAGGAAGGGGGGGAUGACGUCAGGUCCUCAUGGCCCUUAUGGGUAGGGCUACACACGUCAUACAAUGGCCGGUACAGAGGGCUGCCAACCCGCGAGGGGGAGCCAAUCCCAGAAAACCGGUUUCAGUUCGGAAUGGGGUUUGCCACUUGGCCUCAGGAAGUUGGAGUCGGUUGUAAUUGCAGAUCAGCAUCGCUGCGGUGAAUACGUUCCCGGGUCU
rnacentral:rRNA from 1 species